rnacentral:tRNA from 1 species
GCCUCUGUGGUGAAAUUGGCAGACGCGCUGGACUCAAAAUCCAGUGGUAGCGAUACCGUGCCGGUUCGACUCCGGCCAGAGGCACCA